rnacentral:rRNA from 1 species
UUCCGGUUGAUCCCGCCGGACCCCACUGCUAUCGAGAUGGGACUAAGGUAUGCUAGUCGAACGACCAGAACUAUGUCUGGGAGUGGCACACUGCUCAGUAACACGUAGCUAACCUACCCUUAGGACGUGGAUACCCCCGAGAAAUUGGGGUUAAUCCGCGAUAGAUGUAAUGUCCUGGAAUGGUAUUACGUCUAAAGGUAUUUCAUACAUGUUUGAAAUAUGCCUAAGGAUGGGGCUGCGGCCGAUCAGGCUGUUGGUGAGGUAAUGGCUCACCAAACCUUUGACCGGUACGGGCCAUGAGAGUGGUAGCCCGGAGAUGGACACUGAGACAAGGGUCCAGGCCCUAAGGGGCGCAGCAACCGCGAAACCUCCACAAUGCACUCACGUGCGAUGGGGCUAUCUCGAGUGCCACCUGAUGAAGGUGGCUUUUCCUUGGUCUUCAAAGCCUUGGGAAUAAGAGGGGGGCAAGACUGGUGUCAGCCGCCGCGGUAACACCAGCCCCUCGAGUGGUGGGGAUGAUUAUUUGG